AGAUUGAACGCUGGCGGCAUGCCUAACACAUGCAAGUCGAACGAAGGCUUCGGCCUUAGUGGCGCACGGGUGCGUAACGCGUGGGAACCUGCCCCUCGGUUCGGAAUAACAGUUAGAAAUGACUGCUAAUACCGGAUGAUGACUUCGGUCCAAAGAUUUAUCGCCGAGGGAUGGGCCCGCGUAGGAUUAGCUAGUUGGUGGGGUAAAGGCCUACCAAGGCGACGAUCCUUAGCUGGUCUGAGAGGAUGAUCAGCCACACUGGGACUGAGACACGGCCCAGACUCCUACGGGAGGCAGCAGUGGGGAAUAUUGGACAAUGGGCGAAAGCCUGAUCCAGCAAUGCCGCGUGAGUGAUGAAGGCCUUAGGGUUGUAAAGCUCUUUUACCAGGGAUGAUAAUGACAGUACCUGGAGAAUAAGCUCCGGCUAACUCCGUG
rnacentral:rRNA from 1 species